AUUAUUAAUGACAGUAUCCUACAUAGAGAUUCGUGUAACCUAUAGCAUAUAUGUCAUAGUUAGUUAAUUUAAAGUUGUGCAAAAAUGCCAUUACAACGCCACGUUCAUGUUCCGAAUUCACCGGCGAACAAAAGAUUUUUUCGGAAAGCUCUUUUCCACUUGGCCAAAUAAUUGAAAGCCAGGAACAGCGUUACCAGAGAAACACUUAAAAGCUCUUCAUCGUUACUGUGGUAACGCCUAACUGCAUCAACAACGGGUUAUCCGUAGGCUAUAAAAAGCACACAACGCCAAAGCACAAAAACGACAGCUGAACGCAACUGAAGCGAAUGUAAGGGGUGAUAAUUCCUCGUGUAUUUCAUCCUGAAGGUCCGACGAAUUUAAUCCUGAAAGGGAGAUACAACAUAACUCAGACUAGCAGGUGUCAUCAGUGAGACAUGCACCUCUCCUCCAUUUGGCACCAGGUCUCAUAUAGGAUGUAAAUUAGACAUGGGAUCACAGGGGACUGAAAACCUGGAGAAGUCACCAAGCUGGUGAGGUUGUGCAAGACCUGGGGCUGGACUUUCUGUGACUGGGGAUUAGGAGUCACUCUUCUGUCUCUUCUAAAACAGAGGAGCGGCAAUAAAGCAUUUUGACCAGUUGCUCAUCAUAUUCCCGACUACAGCCCGACUCCAGGCAGGACAUAGCACAGAAAUACAAAGCACCCUGGGAGGGUGGGGGGUGGUGGGGGUGGAUUCUAUUUUAAACACUCAAAGGAAUGGAGUUUCUGUGGACGUCAGACGUUUCAUAUUUUGUUUGGGUCUUUUUUUUGCCCUUGAGGAAAGGAGAAAAAUGAAAUACACCCUGAGGAACUUUUUUUUUUCAUCAAAGCAGUUUCUCUGGUACCUUCACCUGGAAAAAAGAAACGUUGUUAGAUGAUAGCAACAUGCAAGAUCUUUCUUAUUUUCGGUUAAAAAAAUGUUGUCAUUAAUAAACCCGGGAGGUAGAAUGCCCUGUAUUACUUUAUCUCGGCAUACUGAAAUGUGGAUAUCCUCAUGCAGAUUUUAGUCCGUUUUUUUAGUUUUGGACCGAUCCCACCUACAGUACAUCGAUUUGAUGAAAUUCCUAUAAUGCUGAAGGAAGUGAAUUAUCAGGGGAGUAAACCUUUUCUAAAUGGUUAAAAAA